rnacentral:rRNA from 1 species
UACGUAGGGUGCAAGCGUUAAUCGGAAUUACUGGGCGUAAAGCGUGCGCAGGCGGUUGUGCAAGACCGAUGUGAAAUCCCCGGGCUUAACCUGGGAAUGGCAUUGGUGACUGCACGGCUAGAGUGUGUCAGAGGGGGGUAGGAAUUCCACGUGUGAGCAGUGAAAUGCGUAGAGAUCGGGAGGAACAUCAGUUGCGAAGGCGGCUCUCUGGACCAGCACUGACACUGAGGCACGAAAGCGUGGGGAGCAAACAGG